rnacentral:misc_RNA from 1 species
CGCAGUGGAUGUUGGCCUGCUGGUAGAAGCUGCGCGGGUCCGACUCCGGAAGCGCCUUCAUCAGCGCCACCGCGCGCGCGUACCUGGCGACGCUGUCCGCGCCGGCGGCCCCGUGCGCUGGCUGCCGCGUCCGGAGCGGCUCGCCUGGGUCGGGGAACGUGAAGUUGGCGACGGCAGCGUCGGACGCCGGCGUCGGCGGGCAGCAGCGGAAGGGCGGGAGCGCGUGGGAUGGGAGGCGGGGCUCGCCGCACGACAGCAGGUCGGUGACUAUGGGCCUGCCGCCGCUACCGGCCUUGUUGUGGCCUCCAUCGCCAUCCGACAGCUGGGCCUUGGCGGAGCCGUCGUCCGCGCAGGAGAUGAGGCGAGGGUCGAGGCCGCUGGCGGCGAGGAUGGUUCUUGGCAGGGAGUAGGCGCAUGGCCUUGUGACGAGAGGGAGCAAGGUG